UACGAAGGGGGCUAGCGUUGCUCGGAAUGACUGGGCGUAAAGGGCGCGUAGGCGGAUGGCACAGUCAGAUGUGAAAUUCCCGGGCUUAACCUGGGGGCUGCAUUUGAUACGUGUUGUCUAGAGUGAGGAAGAGGGUCGUGGAAUUCCCAGUGUAGAGGUGAAAUUCGUAGAUAUUGGGAAGAACACCGGUGGCGAAGGCGGCGACCUGGUCCUUGACUGACGCUGAGGCGCGAAAGCGUGGG
rnacentral:rRNA from 1 species